UGGGGAAUAUUGGACAAUGGGGGAAACCCUGAUCCAGCAAUGCCGCGUGAGUGAUGAAGGCCUUAGGGUUGUAAAGCUCUUUUACCAGGGAUGAUAAUGACAGUACCUGGAGAAUAAGCUCCGGCUAACUCCGUGCCAGCAGCCGCGGUAAUACGGAGGGAGCUAGCGUUGUUCGGAAUUACUGGGCGUAAAGCGCACGUAGGCGGUUACUCAAGUCAGAGGUGAAAGCCCGGGGCUCAACCCCGGAACUGCCUUUGAAACUAGGUAACUAGAAUCCUGGAGAGGUGAGUGGAAUUCCGAGUGUAGAGGUGAAAUUCGUAGAUAUCCGGAAGAACACCAGUGGCGAAGGCGGCUCGCUGGACAGGUAUUGACGCUGAGGUGCGAAAGCGUGGGGAGCAAACA
rnacentral:rRNA from 1 species